UGUUAUGGCGGUCGUGCGUGGGAGACCUUCGGGUCUGCCGGUUUCUUUGUGGCCGGUUCGCCAACCCGCGUGCGGCCGCCCCCAUC
rnacentral:antisense_RNA from 1 species